UUAUCUUUAUAUUUACAAAAACAAACAUUAUGUACACGCGUACACUAACAUUAUGUGCACAUAUACAUGCGUACACUAACAUUAUGUACACAUCUACGUAGUCAUCCAAUGUAUCCUUGUACAGGAACAUGUGUACACUAGCAUUAUGUACACAUCCGCGUGGUCAUCAAUUAUUUUUUUUAAUGAGUGGCAAUUUUGUAAUAACUUCAUCUUCUUCCUAUUAGGAUUUUCUGUGUUUCCUGCAAAUAUAACUCACAACCGCCAUUGAUUUUUAUCAUGCAAUUUUCAUUGUUUUUGUGUUUUACCUCUAGAACUUAUACAUAUUAUAUAGAUUAAUAGAUUAGAACCCAAAACCAAAAAAAAUAUAUAUAUAAAAAUUAGUUUCUCCGAUAGCUCUCUAUCACGUCCUCUAUCUCUGUUGUUUCAUCCUCCAACCUAAAAAAAAUUGUAAGCAACUAUUUUCUAAAGAUUCAAAUUCCUCCAACAAAAGUUAGAAAUUCAAAAUACAAUAUUUUUUCAUACGCUUGGUAAUUCCUAAAUUCUCUUUCAUUAGGUCCACUCACUCAUUUUAAAAUUUAAAAACGUAACCAGAAAACUAAAAACCCUUUUCCAAUUUUACCCCACCAGUUACACCUUUUUCAGGGACAAGUUAAGACAUUUCACUCAGAAACUGUCCAAGUAGCAAUAAUUGCCUUAUUGUGAUAUUGAAACUUGUAAACUGCCCUGCAGUGUAAAUCACUCUUCGAACAAAUGGUACUAUUAUUUAAAUAACUGAAUAUUUUUAGUAUCCAUCUUCAAUUAAUAUUAUCUAUCAAAAAAGAUGAAUCAACAUAUAUGUUUAACUUGUCAAUUGUAAGAUGACUAUGAAAAUUUAUAUCCCGUCGAGGAUAUUCGCACAAGAUCUUAUUACCAUGUAGACCAGAAGCUAAACAGCUUUGCGUCUUGUUCGAAUAUCUUCCAAAAAGCUGCUGUUUCUUACAAUCUGUAAAUAAAGAAAUUAAAAAGCUAUUAGAUGCUAAUUAAUCAUCAUUGUCAUGUCUAAUCAAAGCAUGAGAUUAUACCAUAAACAGAUCAAGAACAAGAAGUUGUCGUUUUAACAAUCUAGAAAUAAAGAGAUUAAAAAGCUAUUAGAUGCUAAUUGAACAUCAUUUUCAGGCCUGGACAAAGCGGUGGAUUAUACCAUAAACAGAUCAAGAACACGAGCUUGUGUCUUGUUCGUGCAAAACGCUGCGUUUAUAUAAUCAACGAAUUAAAAAAGCUAUUAGAUGCUAAUUAAUCACCAUUGUGGGGCCUAAUCAAAGCAUGAGAUUAUACCAUAAACCGAUCAAAAACACAUAAAGAUUUACCGUUAAAGAUCUUGUAUUGAUCAAACACAGUUGUGUAAAAAAGACAAUAAAAUACAGAGAUAUCGACGGAACUCACCGUCGUUUCUUUAUCUUUAAACCGGUGGAAGUUUGUGUAUUGCGGUCAAACCGGUUAAUGGAGAGCUGGCGAAGAUGAUGGAGAAGAUAAUUGAGAAACGAAAGAGACUCGGAACUCUUUCAAAAAUUGGCAGCAUUCGAGAGAAUGAUUCAGAGAGAUGAAGAAAAAGAAAAUAAAAUAUUUAUCACAAGGAGAGAGACAAAAUGUUAGUGUUAGAGUAGAUAGGGUACCGGUUGUAUCCGUAUUCCACCUUUUUUU
rnacentral:lncRNA from 1 species